rnacentral:rRNA from 1 species
UACGUAGGGUGCGAGCGUUGUCCGGAAUUAUUGGGCGUAAAAGAGCUUGUAGGCGGUUUGUCGCGUCUGCCGUGAAAUUUCGAGGCUCAACCUCGAACUUGCGGUGGGUACGGGCAGACUAGAGUGUGGUAGGGGGAGACUGGAAUUCCUGGUGUAGCGGUGGAAUGCGCAGAUAUCAGGAGGAACACCGGUGGCGAAGGCGGGGUCUCUGGGGCAAACAACUGACGCUGAGGAGCGAAAAGCGUGGGGGGAGCGAAACAGG